rnacentral:rRNA from 1 species
CGGCGCACGGGUGAGUAACGCUACAUGACCCGCCCUUUACUGGGGGAUAGCCUCGGGAAACUGAGAUUAAUACCCCAUGGUAUUAUUAUGCUGCAUGGUAUGAUAAUUAAAGCUGAGGCGGUAAAGGAUGGGUGUGCGUCUGAUUAGCUAGUUGGAAAGGUAACGGCUUACCAAGGCGAUGAUCAGUAGGGGGCGUGAGAGCGUGAACCCCCACACGGGUACUGAGACACGGACCCGACUCCUACGGGAGGCAGCAGUAAGGAAUAUUGGUCAAUGGAGGAAACUCUGAACCAGCCAUCCCGCGUGAAGGAUGAAGGGGCUCUGCCUUGUAAACUUCUUUUGAAUGGGACGAAAAAAGGGGAUUUAUCCUCGAUGACGGUACCAUUAGAAUAAGCACCGGUUAACUCCGUGCCAGCAGCCGCGGUAAUACGGAGGGUGCAAGCGUUAUCCGGAAUCACUGGGUUUANAGGGUGCGUAGCGGCUAAAUAAGUCAGGUGGUGAAAGGCCGUGGUUAACCAUGGGAUUGCCAUUGAUAACUUGNAUAAGCUUUGACGGUGAGGAUGAGGGUCUCGGCGGGAACUGUCGGCCAUGUUCACCGGG